ensembl:lncRNA
GAAAACCCCCCCCCCGAGUCCAAACAGGAGUACCUUCAGGUCAGAGAACAAAUGGCUUGAAGGCCUCAUGUGGCCCCUUUGACCACAACACAUGGCCCCUUUUGUCCCCCCGCGUGCCACUCAGCCACAGGGCGAAGCGACCGGAAGCUGCUGCCACGGGCCGUCUGAGGGGGAAAGGGUUUGAACCUGUGAACUGAUGGGGCCCGAUCGCCGAGGCCAUUCACGCCGACAGGAGGGGCCGAAGAGGCGGUGGGCGGGGGGGCCUUUCACCCCGAGCUGAGGUGCUGCUCCUGGCCGCCUCAUGUAGAGAUCCACCAGUGCAAGAGGAACAAAUGAAUAUAAAUAUUUCCAGCGGCGAUAUUAUAGGAGCCGUUGAUGGUGGG